UAGAUUGAAGCCAGACUAGGGUGUUUAGCUGUUAACUAAAAGUUCAUAGGUUUAAGUCCUAUCAAUCUAG
rnacentral:tRNA from 2 species